AGAGCGAACGCUGGCGGCAGGCCUAAUACAUGCAAGUCGAACGCACCUUCGGGUGAGUGGCGGACGGGUGAGUAACACGUGGGAACGUGCCUUUUGGUUCGGAAUAAUCCGGGGAAACCUGGCCUAAUACCGAAUGUGCCCCCUCCUUUAACCAGGGGGGUGGGAAAGAUUUAUCGCCAUUAGAGCGGCCCGCGUCUGAUUAGCUAGUUGGUGAGGUAAUGGCCCACCAAGGCUACGAUCAGUAGCUGGUCUGAGAGGAUGAUCAGCCACACUGGGACUGAGACACGGCCCAGACUCCUACGGGAGGCAGCAGUAGGAAUCUUGCGCAAUGGGCGAAAGCCUGACGCAGCCAUGCCGCGUGAAUGAUGAAGGUCUUAGGAUUGUAAAAUUCUUCAGCGGGAAGAUAAUGACUGUACCCGCAGAAGAAGCUCCGGCUAACUUCGUGCCAGCAGCCGCGGU
rnacentral:rRNA from 1 species